UGGGCACUCUGAUAAAGGAUUUGGGUAUCCCAAGCAGCAGUUCUUUUUUUUUUUUCAUGAUCUAUAAUUCUGUUUUUAAUUCUCUUAAGUCUUGUGGUCACAUAUUUUAGAGGUUUUGUGUUGAUGGUAUCUCCUCUACCUUAGUCCUUCCAUUGACUUGGCAAAAGCAGCAUUACUAAACACAAAUAUAAGGUAGCUCCUCAGUUUUAUGUGUUUCCAAAUGGCUGCUUAUAGACAAUCCUGAAUUUUAACUCAGUCUAAGGUAGUAAAGAAUUCAGUUCUUUAUGCUUAUUUAGGGGGCAUAAAAGUAAGAAUUAUCCUGCGUUUGUCUUUUAAUCAACCUACAGUAUUUUAACAAGGAUUGUAUUUUAUUUUUUUGAAUCUCCACAUAGUGCAUAACACAAUGCUAGGUGUAUGUACCAGGAGAGAUUUAAAUGUGAGAAAGAUGGGGAGUCUUCAUUUGUAGCUAUCAUGAAUGACCCUGGCUUACACUAGAUUCUGAAGGAUCCCCAGAAGAGAAAAGCAAAGCCUCAGCACAGGAGCACCAAGAAGAGCCCAGUUAACCUUCACAGCCAUCACCAUCGUAGACAAUGUGUUUGAAGGAACCAAGUUGGAAUGGGAUCUUCUUUCAAGGGAUCCAUACAUCCCCUGUGAGGCUGGGUCCUCAUUCUGUUUACACAGUUUGACUUCUGAACAUUUUCAAUCCACUUCCCUUCUAUAAAUUCUCUGAGGUAAGCAGUUCAGAAAAUUGAUUUUUCUAUGUCCUAAUGUUUAACCACUAUGUCCAAAAGUACCUUUUCAUAGAAAGAGAUAAUUAACUUGAUUUCAUUUUCACAUGACUGUCUGGUGACAAGUCGAAUUCCUGGAACAAAACAUCUGCCAUUUUCCUUCCAUGGCAUAAGCUGUUAGGCUGCUGGCUCUGUUCUCAGCAGCAGCAGUCUCCUCACAGUCAGAAUUGCCACCUCGAUGGCUAGGAAAGUUCUCUCUGUU
rnacentral:lncRNA from 1 species